GAUGAACGCUGGCGGCGUGCCUAGUACAUGCAAGUCGAGCGAACAGACGAGGAGCUAGCUCCUCUGACGUUAGCGGCGGACGGGUGAGUAACACGUGGAUAACCUACCUAUAAGACUGGGAUAACUUCGGGAAACCGGAGCUAAUACCGGAUAAUAUAUUGAACCGCAUGGUUCAAUAGUGAAAGACGGUUUUGCUGUCACUUAUAGAUGGAUCCGCGCCGCAUUAGCUAGUUGGUAAGGUAACGGCUUACCAAGGCGACGAUGCGUAGCCGACCUGCGAGGGUGAUCGGCCACACUGGAACUGAGACACGGUCCAGACUCCUACGGGACGCAGCAGUCGGGAAUCUUCCGCAAUGGGCGAAAGCCUUACGGAGCAACGCCGCGUGAGUGAUGAAGGUCUUCGGAUCGUAAAACUCUGUUAUUAGGGAAGAACAAAUGUGUAAGUAACUAUGCACGUCUUGACGGUACCUAAUCAGAAAGCCACGGCUAACUACGUG
rnacentral:rRNA from 1 species